AAAGCACUGGAAUGUGCGAGCUCUUUCAUUUUUUUGACCGACUAUAUUUGUAUUGCAUAGGGGUUCAUGAGACAUUCGGUAGCGUAAUACCUCGAACGAAAGUAGGGGAAGCUGAUGCGAAGCGAGAACACCCACCUGGCGUUUUAGCGGGUUCAAUACACGGAAGAGCAUACGGCAUUCAAUCAGUGUUUUU
rnacentral:other from 18 species